rnacentral:lncRNA from 1 species
AGAAUUCCCAGCUCUUGGUAGAAAUUUGGACAGGCUGAUGAUCAAAAGUUUGUAACCCUGAGCUUUGCAUGCCAGAGAGGAAUAAAGCAUUCCUUACCCGCCCCCUACCCUAACAGAUCAGAGUGUAUUUGGCACAUCUUGAAAGGCUAGUCUUCCAACUACAGAAACUUUGUACAACACAGUGGAUAUGUUUAGCAGGGCCAGCUUAAAAUUAAUUCUUUUUUUUCCUAUUGAAUUCCAUUAUAGGACCAGGUCUCCAUUCUUAUAAUAGAAAUCAUAUUUAUGAAUAAAAAAUCUUUUAAAGCA